rnacentral:rRNA from 1 species
AUGAACGCUGGCGGCGUGCCUAAUACAUGCAAGUCGCGCGAACGGACGAGAAGCUUGCUUUUCUGAUGUUAGCGGCGGACGGGUGAGUAACACGUGGAUAACCUACCUAUAAGACUGGGAUAACUUCGGGAAACCGGAGCUAAUACCGGAUAAUAUUUUGAACCGCAUGGUUCAAAAGUGAAAGACGGUCUUGCUGUCACUUAUAGAUGGAUCCGCGCCGCAUUAGCUAGUUGGUAAGGUAACGGCUUACCAAGGCAACGAUGCAUAGCCGACCUGAGAGGGUGAUCGGCCACACUGGAACCGAGACACGGUCCAGACUCCUACGGGAGGCAGCAGUAGGGAAUCUUCCGCAAUGGGCGAAAGCCUGACGGAGCAACGCCGCGUGAGUGAUGAAGGUCUUCGGAUCGUAAAACUCUGUUAUUAGGGAAGAACAUAUGUGUAAGUAACUGUGCACAUCUUGACGGUACCUAAUCAGAAAGCCACGGCUAACUACGUG